GUUUUAGUUUUAAGAGGUUAGUUAAGUUUUAAAUGUAUAUACUAUUUUUAAACUCAGAUCUCAACAUAGUCGUAUGUAAAUGUAUAAAAGGGAUAGGCAGUAGGUUUGAAAUUUUAAAACAAAUGAAAAAUAGAUAUAUAAAAAAGAAAGGAAAUAGUAUAAGGAAACUAUAUACUAAUUUUAGAAAAAUGUAAUACAUUACAGAGAACGACAUUUUUUUCGCAAUAAGGUGUUUUUGUUGUCAAAUAUGAAAUGUAGAGUCAGUAACAAAUUGCGCAAGAGGUAGUUAAAAUUUUAUUAAUGGAAUCUUAAAUGUUGUUAAUUUUUUGGUCUAUAUUUAACGUUAAGAUUAAUUAAUGAAGCAAACAAAAUAAAACUGUAAAAGUAUUACAAUUGGGAACAAAGUAAC
rnacentral:lncRNA from 1 species